UUUCCCUUUUAACGUUAAAAGAGGGUUUCUUUCUCCAGAUGAAACUCGCUCACUCUCUCUCUUAUUCAAAAUUCAAAUUAAAUACAAAUGGGUUCUCUUGUAGAUUUUGAAUCACAGAUGUUCUUUGGAUCGUGUUCUGUGCGAGUGUGAAAAGCAUGGCUACCAGGCGAUCCGUUAUCCAGUUGCAACCACCGGUGCCGGAAAUAUCGAUGCGAAUUCUUGCUGACUCAUGUACCACAGGCAAUCCUAAGGGUUAGCACCAUUCAAUUAUUAGCUUUGUUUUAGAGGAAUCAAAACAAUGGCAGAAAAUGCUUCCACCGUCUUCAAUGUUCACGUGCCGGAGUUUGUGGAUGCUAUUUGGGUUGCUCUGAGGGAUCCAACGUUGGCUGUUCGGGAGAAGGCUGUUGAGACAUUGUGUGCCUGCGUUCGUGUUAUUGAAAAGUGUGAGACAAGAUGGUGUGUUCAGUGGUAUUAUUGAAUGGUUAAGCCUACCCAAGAUGGAUCGGGUUGAAACGCUCAUGUUCAUAGUAUACAUUGAUCUUUUCUCGCAGUUGGGGAGCUGCUAAGGAACACAGGGGAGUUCAUUAUGUCAAGAUACAGGGAGGUUGCUGAAAUUGUUCUAAGAUACCUGGAGCACCGAGAUCGCCUAGUUCGCCUCAGCAUAACUUCUUUACUUCCUCGAAUUACCCAUUUCCUGCGUGAUCGAUUUGUACUAACUAUUUAACGAAUGUGCCAGUGGGUUCCUUGCUCUUGGGGAGAUGGCAAGUUCUCUAGAUGGUGAACUCAUUAACUAUUUGGCGACAAUAACCUCUCACUUGGGUGAUGUGGGAAUCUUGAUGUUGUUCUUUAAUCAUUUGUUGAAUUGGUAAGGAAGUGGAGCCAGACGUGAUUUUCAUAUUGAUAGGAUUGAGGGAAAUUAAGGAUGUAAGACUGUUCAAGAUUUUAGAUAACUCCCAAGUCUUUCUUCUGUUUCAGCCUUUGAAGGAGGGGGGCUGCAUUGGUUUUGAGGCAGCUUGUAGAGGAAGAAGCUUGUGAUCUUAGUGGAGAAGGUUUUGCUCAUUUUAUGGAUCAUCUAUAUGAACGCAUUACCACAUUUCUUGAUAGUAAUGAAGUUUCUGAGAAUCUCGGUGCAUUGAGGGAUAUUGACGAGAUAAUAGAUGGCACCAUCAGCGAAAAUGCAUCAAAAGUGACACAAUUCUCCAAUUACAUUCGCGUUGCUUUUGAAACAAAGUGUGAUCCUGAAAUCUUGGUCCUUUGCUAGGUUCUUGGUCAAAAGUUCAGGGAGUUCCUCGUAUUCUCUUUUGAUAUUUGCACUGUGAGAACACAAUCUCAUUUUCUGUUGGGGGUGCCUCCCUUGUAGUCAUUUAGUUGAUUGUUUCUGCAUAUAGUGAUUGUGCCCUUGUCGGACGUACCUUUCUUUCUUUGUUAUGGAUUGGUGUGCCCUUGUCAGGAUUUGAUAUUGUGAAUGUUUAUGUUGAUAUUGUGUUGGAUUGGUCUAUUUUAGUUUUGAUACCUAGUUUGUAGCUUCUUUGUUUUUGUUUUGAUAAAAAGAUUUGGAUUGACGAUGCCCGAUGAUGGAUAGAGCGUGACGACUUUCUUAAGGGUAAAUCGUCGAUUGCUUGUGAGUAUUUGAUUGACGUUGAUUUGAGUAGUUCACGAAUAGAUGCAUGAGGUUGUCUUUUUGUAACUUUUGAUUCGUUAGCAGUUAAAAUGUUCAAUGCUACUUGUAUUUUCAAAAGGAAGUAAGAUUUUGAACCGUCUUGAUUGAUUUGCAGGCCAUGUGUGGUGAGUUAUUGCAUAAUGCCUUGUGUUUGCUUUUGUCACCUAGAACUUGUCCGGUUGGUCUUGAAAUAUUGGUCUUGAAUGAAUUUGGUUGGAGAAAUGAUCUUAGGCUUUCUUUAAUAUCUUGGAGUCCACUUGGCCUAAAAAUCUCACCUUUGUACUAAAUAUAUCCUUAGUUGUCCCCUUUCAGCCUAAUCCUUUUUAUCGGCAACCAUAUUACAAGCCUUAUCCUUUUUGAAAAGGUAACCCUCCUUUGAACCCUUCCCUCCUUGAACUUGAGGUUGUGAAAGUUGAGUCUAAAAGCCUAAGUUGUGGGCGUUAUGGAAAAUUCGUUGAAGGGAUGCUUACCAAAUGAGGGCAUGGUGUAAAAAAAAAAAUAUAAAGAAGAGAGAAAUUGAGGGAUGGAUGGAAAGUUUUAAAGAAAGAAAAAGUUUUGAAAAAGAAAGAAUGAAAAUGAAUAAAUGAGUCUUGAAUCCUCCAAAAUUUGAAAAUGGUUGCAUGUGGAGCAUCUAAAGUGGAAAUAAGAAAAGAAAAAAUGAAAAAUAGUAUGGAAUGUGCAUGGGUUUUAAAAGUGAAGAAAAGUGGAAAAAGUUGGAAAUGAUGAGUCGUUGUGUAGUGUUCAAGGAGGGUGUAGUCACUUAUACUUAAAUGAUAUCCUAACCUUCCCUGAGCCUAUAUUACAAGCUUAACAAAGUCCUUGGAGAUUUCUAACCAAAUGGAGUGGAGUCAAUAUUGAUAGAAAAUAGGUGACAUUUGUGUGCAUGAGAUGAUUUUUAGUGAGUGCGAGUGUUGCAUCUUUGUCCUCGUAUUGUUUGUAUGUGUGGUUUCGGGAUACUUCUUUCUUGUGAGGGCAUGCAAGUUGAAAUAUUAAUGAUUUUUCUUAAUUGAGUCAAGUGAGCUAAUGAGUUGAGUCAUUUCUUGAGUUUGAGUUGUUGUCACUUAAAUGAUUCUUGAUUUUUUAUAAUGUUUCAUGUGAAUGAGAGGAUUUCUUUUGUGGAAAGUUUUCAUGUGGACUAUUUGUUGGUACCAACCGAGGCCAUUACCUUUGUGCUUAAUUGAGAAAUGGAAAUUGAUUUGUGGUGUAUCUUGAAAUAAGAAUCUCUUAUGUUUUUUGAUUUUCUUGACUUGAUGAAAAACAAACUUUCUAAGUUGGGGUGUUGAUUUGUGGUAGAUUUCUACUCAUUUGAGUCUUUUUUUCGUAGUUAUUUUGGCUUUUAGUUUAUAAUUGUUGCUUUUUGAUGUGGUUUUGCACGAAAAUUAAAUGGAGAGUUCGUACAAAAUGUUGAACGUGCAGGGUUAGCACCAUUCGAUUGUUGGCUUUGUUUUAGAGGAACCAAAACAAUGGAAGAAAAUGCUUCUACCGUCUUCAAUGUUUCACGUGCCGGAGUUUGUGGAUGCUAUUUGGGUUGCUCUGUGGGAUCCAAUGUUGGCUGUUCGGGAGAAGGUUGUUUAGACAUUGCGUGCCUGCCUUCUUGUUAUUGAAAAGUGUGAGACACGACGGCGUGUUCAGUGGUAUUAUCGAAUGUUUGAGGCUACCCAAGAUGGAUGGCGGAGAAUCGCUCCUGUUCAUAGUAUAAUUGGAUCUCUUCUCGCAGUCGGGGAGCCGCUAAGGAAGUAAAAAGGAGAUUGAAAUAGAAAGAACGCAGAAUGCUGCACUUUACUUUUGGGCACAUCUAUUUUUAUUUGGUUUUGUGUGGAAGAAGAUCAGCAGAUAUACUCCUAAGUCUUUCUUCAGUUUCAGCCUUAGAAGGAUGGGUCUGCAUUGGCUUUGAGGCGGCUUGUAGAGGUAGAAGCUCGUGAUCUUAGUGGAGAAGGAACACAGGGGAGUUCAUGAUGUCAAUAUACAGGGAGGUUGCUGAAAUUGUUCUAUACCUGGAGCACCAAGUCCCUCCCAAGCUUCAUUAAAUGCGGUUUCUGGAAGAAUGAUGACUGAUUUGGAUUCUUCAGUAACUGCAAUGAUCGAAAUAAAUAUGCAAUAUUUUUUGAACUUCAAGGAGCAAUAAAUGUAUGUGGACGGAUCUCUGCGUUUCCAAGACUUGAUGGAUUUCCCUUUUAAGUCUAAUGCCUUCUUUAUUGUUCUGCACAACCACACCAGAGGUCCUCUGCUUAAGAUUCUAUUCUCCAUACGGCAAGAUACAUAAGCAGGAUAAGAAGAAAAUGUGAUUCCGAUGAAGUGAGUUUGCAGGAAUUGGAGUAGGGUACAAGAAGGUAAGAAAGUAAAAGUCUUUUCCGAUAUAUACAGCCUCCAGAGUUUUUUGAUAUUUUUGUAUCCUUAGAUUCUACUAUACGAUCAAAAGUAAGGUCUCAUUUGUUUGCACUUACGGAAGGUCUUAAUCUUAUUCAUUCAGAUCUCAUUAAAUCUGUUUGCAAGGCCUGAAUCUUAAUCAUUAAGUGCAUUUGGUUUUCUUAUUUUACACCACUUAAUGGGUCUAAAUGAUUAAUGUCAUUAAGAAUCUUUUUAAGAAUUUGUACAAAGAUGACAGUUCACCGCUACACCACCUACUUUCACCCAUCACCCACAACCACCAUUUCAGCCUAACCGCCAUCAUCAUUCACCGCCAUUAGCUAUCAAUAUCACUCCACUUCUAAUUAUUAGCCACCACCACCUCCAUCCACUAUACUAUAUGAUAGUACCCACAACCACUAUUAUCAGUCGACACCAUCCGAAAUUGGCAUACACAAUCACCAUUGUUAAUAAUUACCACCAUCAAUGACGAUAUACAAAUUUUAAAAUAUUUUAUUGAUAUAAUAUUAGAUCAAUUUAGUAUUUUAUUUGAAUUGUAUUUAUUAUUUUUUGUACAUUCUAAUGUUGAAAAAAACAGUCUUAACUAUUUAACAUUAUGAUCUUAAUGCAAUAUCUUAAUAUUCAAAUGUGUAUUUAGAUUCAGAUCUCUAAAUGCUAAUGUACAUCUUAAUAUCCAGAUGUGCAUUCAGAUUCAGACAUUACCCUUAUAUAUAAGCCAAGCCAACAAGGUGAAGUACCAACACAGCUCUACAAUGUUGUACCAAUAGCAUUGAAAAUAGUACCACUAUAUUGAGCCCUAUUCACAGCUAAAUAAACAUGUGUCCUUCUACGUCCUGUUGUUUUCAAUUAGUUCGCUUUGGUUCUUCUGUCAGUUCUUUUUAUCUUUCCAGUCGUUUCUAUUUUUCUAUUUUUCAUUCUCCCCAUUCUCACUCUUGGUGGUGAAAGAGAAGAAGAGACUUAGAAAUAGAGGUGUUACAUUUUCGGAGAGGAAGAGAAAAUUGAUGGAAAUUUUGAGAAGAGUGAUUUAACUCCCGAGCUGCUGCAUCAAUUGGUGAUGAAAUUUUAUAUUUGACUACCGAAAUUGGAGUACUUGAAAUCGAGCUUCAUGUUGCAUCACGGGAUAAACAACUACUUCAAUCACAAACAUCUAGCUAAAACAGCUAUACAUAGAGGCGUUGACUCUUGCAACAUUCAGAAAAUACAUUGUCUUUGUCUGAAGUUGAGAGUCACGACAAAAACGAAAGUGUGCUUCCAAGUUCUGAUCCUUUGUUAGCUAAAUGAAAAUCAUAAGAAGUCAAAUUUUCAUUACAUGCUUCCGCGGCUACAAAAACAAUUGCUUACACCUCUUAUCUUUGAAUUAGAUCAACAUCAAGUAGAUGUGAUGUAAGCAGAAAAGUUUUUUCCACCACACUGAUUACUUCAAAUAGAGGUAAAAAAAGGAUUUGAAAUCAAUUAACAGAGUGGUAAUCUUUUGCCAAAGAAAGACUCUGCACUCCGCAACAAGGAAAAAAACAAACAAAGACAUGCUUUCAAGCUAUACAUUGGACAACAUCUCCAGAUUAUCCACGUCUCUCAUAGUGACUCCUACUCACCAGCAAGUUAUUCCCAUUGUGAAACAUUUAAGCAACUCCUUCCUGCUAACCAUGUCCAAAGCAUGUUGUCAGAUAGAUGCUUCCAAAUUCAACUACGAAAGUCAUACCGGAGGGACUCCUAUGUCACAAACAUAACCCUAUCAGUUGUCUUACACAGAAAAGGAAGUCAUCUUUCCACCAACAGUGGGAAAAGAAAGAGGGAAGGGGAACAACAUCUUAUUCUCUUCGUGAGAACUUCCGGAUAGUAGAAGCAUUCAGAACGGGCUCCGCAUUCAUUUCGUUGGCAGAAACGAUCCAUUCCAUUCGGGGCUUCGGGGAACCAAAAAAUUGGACUUGAGAAUCAAGGAUAGAUAGACAAGAGAUAGAUAAACGAUAUAUAUAUUUCUCACAAAAAAAUUGUGAGAUAAAGAGCAGAUGAUGAGAAAAUAAAAAAAGUCAAGCCUCGAAGCACAAGUGAGAUAGCGUUGGAACCAUAUGAUGUUCUACUCGAUUAUUCAAGCUUUGGAUUGAAAAUUGAAUCAUCCACACCAGUAAAAGGGCUAUAAAAGGUCGACUUCUUAGGAAGUAUCUUCCUUAUUUUUGUUACUUUUGGUGACUGUUAAAGGAAACUUUUUAGUUGUUACUUUUGAUGACUGCAAACAAAACUUUUUGGGAUUAUCAUCUGGUACAACUACACUCAGUAAGGAGAACCAUCACAUGGAACUAACAAAGAUGUUAUUUAGCGUUUUUGCUGCUUGAUUUAGCCCAGAUUGCUCCCAUAGAGGCAGACUCUCACUUGAGGCUCUAGCAUGUGUCGGACAUAUUGCUAAAGCAAUGGGACCAACCAUGGAGCCUCAUGUUCGUGGUCUCUUGGAUCCUAUGUUUUCUACUAGGUUUUCCGUAACACUGGUUGAUUCGUUAGAGUUACUAUCUGAAAGCAUUCCACCUUUGUUGCUGACCAUUCACAAUCGGUUGUUUGAAUGUAUCUCAGCAAUCCUUUCAAGAUCUCAUCAUCCAAUGUCAAGACAAUCAGUUGCUUUGAGUCGAGGGCAUCUUGCUACAAUUACCCCCCAAGUACCAGUACUGAGUGGUUCUGUGCUAGUUCAACUUACUUUGCAAACUCUUGCUCGUUUUAAUUUCAAGGGGCAUGAUCUUCUUGAGUUUGCAAGGGAGUCUGUUGUUAUAUAUUUAGAAGAUGAGAAUGGAGCUACACAGAAGGAUGUUGCGUUGUGUUGCUGCAAACUCAUAGCAAAUUCUUUUUUGGUGAUGUCUUCUACGCAAUUUAGUCCUUGUAUAAUCAAUCACGCAAAUGGAAAGCAACGUCGACUAGUUGAAAGAAGUAACUUGUUAUUGCGUGGAAUUGGGAGUCACAAAUGGCAAGGAUACCGAACUCAGUUGCAAAUUCUUUAGAGAUCAACCUCUCGUUACUCCUUGGAUCAUCAGACCCUGAUGAAAAUUACUUGUCCUUCAUGGUUAAAAAUGCUUUUUCGGUGUUCGAGAAUGCGGUAAUCUUAAAAUAUUCAGAGACAAAAGGCGCCUUGACUCACAUAAUCAGGACAUGUGCUACCAAUUACCAAAUACCACUAUGCUGCACAAUCAUGUGUUUCAAUUUUGCAUCUGGUUCAAAAAUAUGAUUUUGCAGUUUCCCAUUUGGCUGAUACAGUUGCUUUGGGUUGAAAAGAAGUAUGCUGAUGGUAGCAUGGGUUCUUCUCUUAUCAGAGAGAUAGGAAGGACAGCCCCCGAAAGAUUAUGUGAUGGAUACAAUAGGGGCCGAAAAGGUUGGGCGCUUUCUUGUAGAGUUUGCUGAUAGAUUGCGUAAGUUGGUCUCAACUAAUAUUGGCAUAUUAAUCCCACAUUUUGGAGUUGAAUCUUAUUAGAUGAGAAAUGUUCUUGUUGGGAUGUUGGGUAAGUUGGUCGUGAAGGCUUUUGAUGAUAGUGAAGUUAAAGUGAGUUCUAAAUCGAUUCGUCUCUGAACCACACAGGCCAUGUUGGAAAUCUUGUUUGUAGGGAUGUGUCAGCCUAUGCAAGGAGUCGAGUGCUUCAGGUGUGGGCUAAAUUAUGUGAAGAGUAUUCAGUUUCAUUUGGCACGUGUAAUAUGUGAGGUUGCAGAAGUAGCGGUUGGGAGGUCAGAGGAAAAGAGUGCAAUUGUCAGAAAAUCAACACUGAAUUUACUUAUUAUGAUGUUGUUGUUGUAACCACCGGUGCCGGAAAUAUCAAUGCUCUCAAUAGAGUUCUUGUCCACUUGUGCACCAGAGGCAAUCCUAAGGUUCUUUGAUUUCUUCUCUUUCAAGAAAAAAAAAUUGUUGGAAAUUGUGGAGUUGGAACAGUUCAGGGAAUCUUUAUGUUCUUUAGUCAUUUGUUGAAUUGGUGAGGAAGUGGAGUCAUACAUGAUUUUUCAUUUUGUUAGGAUACAAGACUGUUCAAGAUUUUAGUUCUUGGAUGGGGCUGCAUUGACUUUGAGGCGGCUUGUAGAUAAAGAAGCUUGUGAUCUUAGUGGAGAAGAUUUUGCUCGUUUUAUGGAUCAUCUAUAUGAACGCAUUACCACAUUUCUUGAUAGUAAUGAAGUUUCUGAAAAUCUAGGAGCGUUGAGGGCUAUUGACGAGCUAAUAGAUGUCAUCAUCAGCGAAAAUGCAUCAAAAGUGGCAAAAUUCUCCAAUUACACGCUCGUUACUUUGAAACAAAGCGUGAUCCUGAAAUCUCGAUCAUUGCUUGUAAAGUUCUUGGUCACCUAGCUACAUCUGGUGCAAUGACUGCAGAUUGAUCAAUAAUUGUUGCAGCCUGCAAGGAACAAGCUGUUAACAAUGAUAUCAUAUUCUUGAUCAAUAAUAAAAGAAUAAAUUACUUAAGUACACACCAUUAUUUAUCAUAAUUCUCAAUUUUUCCCUA